GAGAAAUCAAUUAUGGAAAAUGAGUACAGCUCUUCUAAAAUAAGAACUGCUAUUGAAAUUCUUGAGUCAUGUUGUAAGUCAAAGGAUACCUAUUUAGAAUCAGAUAUCUUGGUGCAAUGCAAUGGUGAUUCAUCAAAUUUGGGAGAAAGAGAUUCAGAAAUGCAAUCCAAGGGGCCGAUAAAGGCCAUUGUCUUCUCUCAGUGGACAGGCAUGUUAAACUUGGUUGAGCAUGCUUUGAACCAGUCUGGUUUUCGGUAUGAGAGGCUGGAUGGCACAAUGUCUCUUGCUGCUAGAGACAGAGCUGUCAAAGAGUUCAACACAAAUCCUGAGGUGACUGUCAUGUUGAUGUCACUAAAAGCUGGAAAUCUUGGUCUAAAUAUGGUGGCAGCUUCUCAUGUAAUUCUUCUGGACCUUUGGUGGAAUCCAACCACUGAAGAUCAGGCUAUUGAUCGAGCUCACAGAAUAGGACAAACUCGUGCAGUCACCGUGUCUCGUCUAACUGUGAAAGACACAGUUGAAGAUCGAAUAAUAGCUCUCCAGGAGGACAAGAGGAAUAUGGUUGCAUCUGCUUUUGGUGAAGAUCAAAGUGGAGGGACAGCCAGUCGACUAACUGUAGAAGAUCUUAGAUAUCUGUUUAAUCUCUAAUACAGGGGGGCGGGGCUUUUUUUUAUCUGCAUUU
rnacentral:misc_RNA from 1 species